UACAGAGGGUGCGAGCGUUGUUCGGAAUUAUUGGGCGUAAAGCGCGUGUAGGCGGCGAUUUAAGUCGGGUGUGAAAGCCCUCAGCUCAACUGAGGAAGUGCGCCCGAAACUGAAUGGCUUGAGUGCCGAAGAGGGUGGCGGAAUUCCCCAAGUAGAGGUGAAAUUCGUAGAGAUGGGGAGGAACACCGGAGGCGAAGGCGGCCACCUGGGAGGUAACUGACGCUGAGACGCGAAAGCGUGGGGAGCAAACAGG
rnacentral:rRNA from 1 species